GCGCCGCUGCGGCUGCUGCGCGGUGAGGUCGUGACAAGUCACAGCUAACUUGCCCUCCGCGCCAUUCCACGCCACCAGGAAGCGCAGCCGGUGCCUCUCGGCAUCGGCGAAGAGGCCUUGCCGGACCGGCGCCCAGCCCUCCAGGCUGUCGAGCUGCUCGUCCUCCAUGGCCGUCGGCGGCAGCGGCCCUAGGACUCGGCGGGCGCGGGCCUGACCUCGUCGCACUGCCUGUCAGGGGACAGUCCCAGGCAUAACUGAAGGUGAAAGGACAGAAUCACCGUGUGUUACUGGCACAGAUGCAUCGGCUAGUGAAGAAAGAAGACAUUCAAACUAGUCCCGCUCUGUCGCCCAGUCUGGAGUGCAGCAGCGCCAUCAUAGCUCACUGCCACCUAGAAGCCGGGGUGAAGCAAUCCUCCUCCAUCAGCCUUCAGAGUAGCUGGGACUACCUGCGCGGCCCACCACAGCCGGCUAAUCUUUGUGGUUUUUCUUUUGUUUUCCGUUCUGGGUUUCCGUCGGGCGCAGUGGCUCAGGCCUGCAAUCCCAGCACUUUGGAAGGCAGAGGUGGGCGGAUCACCCGAGGUCGGAGACCAGCCUGACCAACAUGAAGAAAUCCCGUCUCUACUAAAAAAAAGAAAAAAACUACAAAAUUAGCCGGAUAUGGUGGCUCAUGCCUGUAAUCCCAGCUACUAGGGAGGCCCAGGCAGGAGAAUCACCUAAAUCCGGGAGGCCGAGGUUGCGGUGGGCAAAGAUCACACCAUUGCACUCCAGCCUGGACAACAAGGGUGAAACUCCGUCUCAAAACAGAGACCGGGUUUCACCAUGUUGCCCAGGCGGUCUGGAACUCCUAGGCUCAAGCGAUCUGCCACACUCGGCCUUCCAAAGUCCUGGGAUCACAAGGGGGAGGCACCACGCCAGGCAGAUCUAUUCCUUUCUGGUUACUAAAUUGGACCGGGGGCGCGGUGGCUCACGCCUGCAAUCCCAGCACCCAGGGAGGCGGAGGCGGGCGUAUCACUCGAGGUCAGGAGCUCGAGAUCAGCCUGACCAACACGGAGAAACCCCGUCUGUACCAAAAAAAUAAAACCAAAAUUAGCUGGCAUGGUGGCUCAUGCCUGCAAUCCCAGACACUCAGGAGGCUGAGGCAGGAGAACCACCUAAACCCGGGAGGUGGAGGCCGCGGUGAGUCGAGACCACGCCACUGCACUCCAGCCUGCAAAACGAGCGAAACUCCACUCAA
rnacentral:lncRNA from 10 species